GGCUACGUAGGAAAGUGGCUUAAUCCGCCCGACUGUCUAUCGGGAGAUCGAGGGUUCGAAUCCCUCCGCAGCCG
rnacentral:tRNA from 1 species